CAUAUAUUUAUACAUUGUUUCUGCAUCUGUGUCAUUAUAGGUUUUUAUGAAGUCUGCUAAAUUCCUUUCCAUAGGUCUAUUAUUGAGUUUCACAUUUGUAGACCAUGAGCUGCUAUAUUUAAUAUUUUACCUUUACUUCCCCCCUCUUGUAAUCUUAUAGGUUCUUCUAUUGGCAUCAUUUUUCCUGAUGGUCUUACAUUUUCUAUUUCUGUUUCCUGGUCUAUUCUGUAUACUCUUCUUCCUAUAUUUAAUAUUUUACCUUUACUUCCCCCCUCUUGUAAUCUUAUAGGUUCUUCUAUUGGCAUCUUUUUUCCUGAUGGUCCUACAUUUUCUAUUUCUGUUUCCUGGUCUAUUUUGUAUACUCUUCUUCUAGGUACAUUCCCGUAAUAGUAUCUACUGUACUUUGAUAUGUUGUUCUCCGAAAUGGGCUUGGGCUAGAACUAACUGAUUCCAUUAAUUCUUUUAAGCUUAUUACUGAAUCUG
rnacentral:lncRNA from 1 species